GCCCGCUUAGCUCAGUGGUAGAGCGCGCCACUCGUAGUUCCUCGGUUAUCGAGUUGCAAUGGUGAGGUCGAUUGUUCAAUCCAGUCAGUGGGCA
rnacentral:tRNA from 1 species